UACGUAGGGCGCGAGCGUUGUCCGGAAUUAUUGGGCGUAAAGAGCGUGUAGGCGGCCAGGUAGGUCCGUUGUGAAAACUCGAGGCUCAACCUCGAGACGUCGGCGGAAACCCUCUGGCUAGAGUCCGGAAGAGGAGAGUGGAAUUCCUGGUGUAGCGGUGAAAUGCGCAGACAUCAGGAAGAACACCCGUGGCGAAGGCGGCUCUCUGGGACGGUACUGACGCUGAGACGCGAAAGCGUGGGGAGCAAACAGG
rnacentral:rRNA from 1 species